rnacentral:tRNA from 1 species
GGGGAUGUAGCUCAGUGGCGAAGCCCUUAUCUGACAUGCAGGAGACCCUGGGUUCAAAUCCAAGUAUGCCCC